rnacentral:rRNA from 1 species
GGCUCAGGAUGAACGCUAGCUACAGGCUUAACACAUGCAAGUCGAGGGGCAUCAGGAAGAAAGCUUGCUUUCUUUGCUGGCGACCGGCGCACGGGUGAGUAACACGUAUCCAACCUGCCCUUUACUCGGGGAUAGCCUUUCGAAAGAAAGAUUAAUACCCGAUAGCAUAAUGAUUCCGCAUGGUUUCAUUAUUAAAGGAUUCCGGUAAAGGAUGGGGAUGCGUUCCAUUAGGUUGUUGGUGAGGUAACGGCCCACCAAGCCUUCGAUGGAUAGGGGUUCUGAGAGGAAGGUCCCCCACAUUGGAACUGAGACACGGUCCAAACUCCUACGGGAGGCAGCAGUGAGGAAUAUUGGUCAAUGGGCGCUAGCCUGAACCAGCCAAGUAGCGUGAAGGAUGAAGGCUCUAUGGGUCGUAAACUUCUUUUAUAUAAGAAUAAAGUGCAGUAUGUAUACUGUUUUGUAUGUAUUAUAUGAAUAAGGAUCGGCUAACUCCGUGCCAGCAGCCGCGGUAAUACGGAGGAUCCGAGCGUUAUCCGGAUUUAUUGGGUUUAAAGGGAGCGUAGGUGGACUGGUAAGUCAGUUGUGAAAGUUUGCGGCUCAACCGUAAAAUUGCAGUUGAUACUGUCAGUCUUGAGUACAGUAGAGGUGGGCGGAAUUCGUGGUGUAGCGGUGAAAUGCUUAGAUAUCACGAAGAACUCCGAUUGCGAAGGCAGCUCACUGGACUGCAACUGACACUGAUGCUCGAAAGUGUGGGUAUCAAACAGGAUUAGAUACCCUGGUAGUCCACACAGUAAACGAUGAAUACUCGCUGUUUGCGAUAUACAGUAAGCGGCCAAGCGAAAGCAUUAAGUAUUCCACCUGGGGAGUACGCCGGCAACGGUGAAACUCAAAGGAAUUGACGGGGGCCCGCACAAGCGGAGGAACAUGUGGUUUAAUUCGAUGAUACGCGAGGAACCUUACCCGGGCUUAAAUUGCAGUGGAAUGAUGUGGAAACAUGUCAGUGAGCAAUCACCGCUGUGAAGGUGCUGCAUGGUUGUCGUCAGCUCGUGCCGUGAGGUGUCGGCUUAAGUGCCAUAACGAGCGCAACCCUUAUCUUUAGUUACUAACAGGUUAUGCUGAGGACUCUGGAGAGACUGCCGUCGUAAGAUGUGAGGAAGGUGGGGAUGACGUCAAAUCAGCACGGCCCUUACGUCCGGGGCUACACACGUGUUACAAUGGGGGGUACAGAAGGCAGCUACCUGGUGACAGGAUGCUAAUCCCAAAAGCCUCUCUCAGUUCGGAUCGAAGUCUGCAACCCGACUUCGUGAAGCUGGAUUCGCUAGUAAUCGCGCAUCAGCCACGGCGCGGUGAAUACGUUCCCGGGCCUUGUACACACCGCCCGUCAAGCCAUGGGAGCCGGGGGUACCUGAAGUACGUAACCGCAAGGAUCGUCCUAGGGUAAAACUGGU